rnacentral:siRNA from 1 species
GAGAGCUAAUUUCAGAUCGCGGUU